GAUACAGUAGAAAAGCGGUUAACUCGUUCGUCUCGAAAACGAAUCCCUUCGGGGGCGCAGGUUCAAGUCCUGCCUGUAUCG
rnacentral:tRNA from 1 species